GAUGAUUUGGAAGACGAACUGUACGCUCAGAAACUCAAGUACAAGGCCAUCAGCGAGGAGCUCGACCACGCUCUCAAUGACAUGACCUCCAUAUGAUUCCAAAACAGCGAGAAUCUAUCGCCCCCUCAGCUUUUAUUGGCGGCUCCUGCCUGCGGGACGUUGCUUUGCAUCUGUGGCACGUGGGCAAACGCUCUCGCGCUCUCUGUACAUCCCUAGUUUCUCUCAGCCACGUUUUGGCUCCGCUUGCCUGCUGCUGAGUGUGCCUUUGUACUUUGCAUUUCUUCAGUCUGGCCUCCCAUUCACUGUUCUGCGAUGCUGUAUUCUGUCUUGUCUUCCUUUCUCCAGCUCGCCGGCUUAUUGUAAUCACCUACACCCCAUUUUCCCCCCCCCCCACCAAGUCUGUGACACUUAAUGCACCUCAUCUUCCAGUCAGUACCCGAAUAAAACAUUUCAGCCUGUC